ACAUGAACGAUAGAAUUCUAGGCAUAUAAAUCUAGACAAGUUGUAGUAGGGUUCUUUAUAAGUAUUGACAUUCACUCAAAAAUGAGAGAAAAUUAAAUUUUUAAAUAGACAAUCUCCAAACAAGUUAUGCUUAAAAUAUACGAUCAAAUAUAACUAUUCAAAGUGUGAAGAGAUGAAAACAAGCUGCAGUUCCUAGAAU
rnacentral:lncRNA from 1 species